rnacentral:lncRNA from 1 species
UAGAAAUACGGCUACGGUGUGUACGCGGCGUCGUCAGCCCACUCGCCGCACAUCCUCGGCGAGGUCGCCGGCGAUGGCGCCGCCACCGCCAGGGCGGCAGCGGCUGCCCUGCGACGGCGAGGAGGACGCCCCCCCCCCUCUCCACCGCCGCCGGUGAGGGCCUCCUCCGUCCAGCGAUCGCUUCCGGCGGGACGUACGGGGCCCGCCGCGAGCCUGGUGAGGGUUUUGUUCUCCCCUCCCUCUCUGACGAUAUGCUCUCUCUUGCUUCGCUUUGAUUCCGCAAGCCGCCGCUGGGAUCCAGUAAUUUUUUUUUCACUUAAUUCCACUCGCGCGUUUCAGUUUGUGCGGGAAUUCGUGGAUCAUUCAAAGGAUUGUGCUACAAAUUCCCACCAUAUCAUCACUAUAUCAGUGUUGUCUUUUACUGCAAUUUUUUUUUUAAGAAAAUGGGAUAAACCGGGCCUCUAAAUCCAUCCGGAUGUACGCAGCCGAUUUUAUGUGUUACUUACUACUACAUGUUAAUAAAUAAUAACCUGCAUAGUAGUAUGCAAUCUGGAUGAAUUUGUACAAAAAAAGAAAGCUGGAUUCCCAUCAUAUCAGUGUUGUUACUUACUGCAUUUUUUUCCAUUGUGUCACAUACUACAUGUUAAUAACCUGCAUAGUACUACUAGUAUGCAAUGUGGAUGAUUUUUGUACAAAAAUAAAACUGGAUUCCUAUCAUAUCAUUGCUGUUACUUACUACUGCACUUUUUCCCCGUGUCACUUAUUACUACAAGUUAAUAACCUGAAUAGUAGUAUGCAAUGUGGAGCCACCAAGCGACACCAUGUGGAGCCACCAAGCGACAUACAAAUAGAUAAAAAGCCCUUUCUACCAGUUGGGUUUGUCCACCAGCAUGAAUUGGCUUAUACAUGACUUAAAAACAUUAAUAAUAACGUGGUUUACAUAUUAGUGCACUGGAAUUUGCCAACAUGGCUAUCAAUCUUACUGCUUACAAAAUAAUCCACUAAUAUGUUCUUGAUACGGAAAGAAAUCUAAUACUAAUACAUGCUGCAAAAUGCAUCUGGUUUAUUCGCAGAUAUACUGGCUGCUGAUGUAGCAGAAGAACGUUGAUUCAUGAGAAAGUAAUAUGGCAGAAAAGGUUUGAUUUCAGAGAAUCGUAAUUUUGGGACAAUUGGAGCUGCAUUUCUCAGCGCCUCCUGGCUGCAGUCUCUCUCUGGGCAUUGAAGUAGACAGCAGCCACAGGAAGGCCAAGAUCAUUCUCCUCGGCGAACCGGCGGGUGUUGAAAUGGUCCCUGAAGGAUGGCA